rnacentral:rRNA from 1 species
GGACGAACGCUGGCGGCGUGCUUAACACAUGCAAGUCGAACGGAAAGGCCCUGCUUUUGUGGGGUGCGCGAGUGGCGAACGGGUGAGUAACACGUGAGUAACCUGCCCUUGACUUUGGGAUAACUUCAGGAAACUGGGGCUAAUACCGGAUAGGAGCUCCUGCUGCAUGGUGGGGGUUGGAAAGUUUCGGCGGUUGGGAUGGACUCGCGGCUUAUCAGCUUGUUGGUGGGGUAGUGGCUUACCAAGGCUUUGACGGGUAGCCGGCCUGAGAGGGUGACCGGCCACAUUGGGACUGAGAUACGGCCCAGACUCCUACGGGAGGCAGCAGUGGGGAAUAUUGCACAAUGGGCGGAAGCCUGAUGCAGCAACGCCGCGUGCGGGAUGACGGCCUUCGGGUUGUAAACCGCUUUCGCCUGUGACGAAGCGUGAGUGACGGUAAUGGGUAAAGAAGCACCGGCUAACUACGUG